GAAUAUGAAGCGAUUUAUUGCAAUUAGUUUCGACCUAAAUUUAGGUAUUAUAAAUACCCUUAUUCU
rnacentral:tRNA from 1 species